AGCAUUAAAGGUUAGCGCGUACGACUGUUAAUCGUGAGGUUGAGAGUUCGAUCCUCUC
rfam:Aspergillus niger supercontig An02